rnacentral:rRNA from 1 species
GAUGAACGCUAGCUACAGGCUUAACACAUGCAAGUCGAGGGGAAACGACAUCGAAAGCUUGCUUUUGAUGGGCGUCGACCGGCGCACGGGUGAGUAACGCGUAUCCAACCUGCCCAUCACUUGGGAAUAACCUUGCGAAAGUAAGACUAAUACCCAAUGAUAUCCCACGAAGGCAUCGGAAUGGGAUUAAAGAUUUAUCGGUGAUGGAUGGGGAUGCGUCUGAUUAGCUUGUUGGCGGGGUAACGGCCCACCAAGGCAACGAUCAGUAGGGGUUCUGAGAGGAAGGUCCCCCACAUUGGAACUGAGACACGGUCCAAACUCCUACGGGAGGCAGCAGUGAGGAAUAUUGGUCAAUGGGCGAGAGCCUGAACCAGCCAAGUAGUGUGCAGGAAGACGGCCCUAUGGGUUGUAAACUGCUUUUAUAAGGGAAUAAAGUGGGUCACGUGUGACUUUUUGCAUGUACCUUAUGAAUAAGGACCGGCUAAUUCCGUG